rnacentral:misc_RNA from 1 species
UGGUUCUGGCAUCGAUGAAGAACGCAGCGAAAUGCGAUAAGUAAUGUGAAUUGCAGAAUUCAGUGAAUCAUCGAAUCUUUGAACGCACAUUGCGCCCUCUGGUAUUCCGGGGGGCAUGCCUGUUCGAGCGUCAUUACAACCCUCAAGCUCUGCUUGGUAUUAGGCGUCGCCUGUCAAGGCGCGCCCCAAAACUAGUGGCGGUGCCAUCUGGCUUCAAGCGUAGUAAUUUGUCUCGCUUCGGAGAACCAGUUGUGUGCUCGCCAACAACCCCAAAUUUUAUCAAGGUUGACCUCGGAUCAGGUAGGGAUACCCGCUGA